rnacentral:rRNA from 1 species
UACAGAGGUCUCAAGCGUUGUUCGGAUUCAUUGGGCGUAAAGGGUGCGUAGGUGGCGCCGUAAGUCAGGUGUGAAAUUUCGAGGCUUAACCUCGAAACUGCAUUUGAUACUGCGGUGCUUUGAGGACUGGAGAGGAGACUGGAAUUCAUGGUGUAGCAGUGAAAUGCGUAGAGAUCAUGAGGAAGACCAGUGGCGAAGGCGGGUCUCUGGACAGUUCCUGACACUGAGGCACGAAGGCCAGGGGAGCAAACGGG